GCUGGGCACAGUGGUACAUGCCUGUAAUCCCAGUGACUUGGGAGGCUGAGGCAGGAGGAUCAUGAGUUUAAAGCCAGCCUCAGCAAUGGUGAGGUGCUAAGCAAUUCAGUGAGACCCUGUCUCUA
rnacentral:sRNA from 1 species